CAGGCACAACUGAAGAAUCAUAUGGAGAAACCACUGAAGCAGGCGAAAGCACAACCAGAUUAACCACACCUGUCUCAGGUUCCAUACGAAGCACUUCUAUCUCAACAAUUCCAUCAGAAAGUUCCACUGUAGGUCCAGAGAACAAAGUUCUACCAGAACUCAUUGAAGUGCCACCAGGACAGGCUAAAGUAACAGAGGCCACGACUACCAGAGGAGGUGCAGGCAUCACUGGAGAUGGAUUCAGAGCAG